GUUAAAUUAAAGCAAUAAAGACUCCGAUUAUUUACAUUCAACAUAACUUUAAGAUUCACCGCAGAACAAAAUUACGAUGCGUUUGACCGCGACUAAAGAACGGAUAAACAUCGUAAAAGAACGAGAAGUUAACGAAAAGCAUAAAAGUCAAAGGAGGCUCUAAAUCUGUAAAACGUUUAUAAAAUACUAAAAUGAAUUUAAUUAGAAAUAAUUUUUUAGUCUGACGGUUUCUUUUUUCCUGCUUCAAGACAGAAUUUAUGUUCCAACAUUAAAUGCUGUGUUGAUGCAGGUUUUGCUUUACCGUCUCGCGUCGCCCAAAGCAAAAGGCUCUGGUAACGGAACUCUCAGUAAUGAGACGGGGUUCGAUUCCCUGCAGGGCCCUGCUGCUUAUGCCGACUGAGACUAACGCUGUUUCACUACACUUUACCAUCUACAUAAAGAUAAACUAGGCUCAGUUAUUCAUUUUAAGGAAUUUUGUCAUAAAUUAUCAUAAAAAUCUAAAUUCCUCUAAACAGUGAAGAGCUGUUUGUCAUACGUCACUAAAAAGAUGUCUUACAGGGCAGCUCAUGCCGCUAGUACGUCGUGUUUAGCUGUAUUUUAAUCAACUUCAUAUUCAAUAAUUACAGAAAAUUGUGUUUACAGUUGCAGCCAAAAGUCUGAACCCUAUGUCGGAGUCCUACACACAUUGUAACUAACGGUUUGACCUAAAAUAAUAACCUAAAUCUAUCUGGAACCGCUACCGGUCCAUCUGCACUCCAGACGAGUCCCGUUAGCAUGACUGCAGCAACACAGCUAACUGUGUUAGCAAGGGGAAAAGUAAUUUGGAAAGCCACGACACACUCACACAGAUAAGAUCUAAAAGAAGAGCCACAUAUUUAAACAAUAGAUCCUCCAGAGACCGGUAGAACCUCAGAACCAUCCUGGAUUACUACAAACACAAGCUAGCGAGCUACUGCAGCAUCCCAGUCAGGAGGAAUUAUUCUGCUGAUCUAUCGAUUAAAUUUGUUCUGGAGUUAUUUCAAUAUAAACACACAGCGGUUCAACUGGCAGCACAUUGUUUUAUCUAUAGAUUAGUGAAUUAUAUUGGGACGGUGUGAUGGGGCUAAUGGUCAGCUAACAACUCGUCAGCUGAGGGCUACAAGCUUAGAAAUGAAAUAUUCAUCUAAAGUAAGCAAACUGAACUGAUUUUGGUUCUGAAGAUGUUCAGCAUUCUCCCUGGAGUCCAGAUCAGGCUCACGGGUCUUCUGGCCGUAUCCCAGAUCUGACCGAUCUUGUCAUGUUCAAGAAGCCAAUGUGAAAUGAUUUGAGCUUUAUGACAUGGUGCAUUAUCCUGCUGUCAUGGUCUGCGUCUGCGUCUUCCCUCAUGUGUCUCCUGAUGUUUCUCCAUCCCUCUCUGGAUUCUACGGACGCUUCAAACAAUGGCUUGGGAGCAGUACUGUUGCAAAAGAAUGAAAUAAGUGGCAGCCGGUGGCAUAUGCAUCCAGAUCUGACUGAGAAACGCUACGCUCAAAUAGAAAAAGCAACUUUAGGCUUGGUCUUUGGAUGCAGGAAGUUCCAUGGCUAGAUGUUUGGUUUACCAACAUUCAUAGCAGAAACGGAUCACAAACCUCUCAUCACAAAUAGGAAGUAGAAUCUCAAUGACAUGUCACCAAGAAUACAAUGUAUGAUAGUGAUGCUGCAGCGUUUGAACUGAUAUACAUGCUAGGCAAGUUUGCCAGGCAUGCCAGGCAAGUUUAUUGUACUGGCUGAUGCAUUGUCUCAUGCACCUGCACCAGGUGGUGACAGCAGUAUUAGUAUGGUGGUGGAGGAAGUCGAAACCAAGCCCCCACAAUUCGAUUCUGAAAGUGAGGCCAAUGCGGAAGUGAAAUAAAUUGCAGUUCCACCCUCAUCCACUAGGGGCUGGUGUCAGAAAAUAGCAAAUCCUCAUUGACUCCCAUGUUAAAAAUACCAUUUCACAGCAGAAAUAAACAUGUGUACAGCUUGGUUUUUGUCAUGGUCCGUGGUGAGCUGUCUGCCUGUAACCUGGUUUUUCUACUCUGAGCUUGUUUCCACAGGUGGGCGUGUCUGAGAGCUCCCAGCUGAAGCUGAUCUCCUCAUCAAGGCCCAGGGGAUUUAAGGAGCAGUGUCUGGCUUCACCAUGCCAGAUGAUUUACGCAGUUUGGGUAGCUCUAGCCACUAACCAGACCUUGACAUUUUUGCAUUUGUACUCGUGAUAACCUGUCGUCUGAAAACCCCUUUAUGCCCUCUCCUGCUUUUUUCCCAGGUUCCUCUUAACGUCCUCAGCCUCUCCAGAACAAACCCGGAUCACAACCUACCUGACACACUGCUCCAUCCUCUGACCGCCCGCUCUCAGCCGCUCACCUACCACAUCCAUCUCAGCUCCUACACCUCUGGACAAACCAACCACCCUUCUUGGAUAUCCUCAGCUCACCCAGAUCCGACAACCCUCCCGGUGCAUUUAGUGCUGCCAAGAAACAAAACCUCCCCCUGGAGCCCUGCUGCCAGUCCUGCAUCUCGUCGAGUCCCGAACCUCCGUUGCUCAUUAUUUCCAAAAAUAAACCCUUUUACUUACCUUC